ensembl:lncRNA
GUUUUUACAAAAUAAUGUUCUAAAAUAAGAUAAUCAUCAAUGUUCCUUUCAAAACUCAAAAAGGAAUGCUGUAAGGACCACGGAGCAUGGAAACGGAGUUCAGUUUAAAGCAUCUUGCGAAAUUUACACCAUAAAUCUAGAACAAAUCCAAUCAUAAACGGAAACAUGCAUUAUACAAAUAAAACAAAGUAAAUUGAAUCACAGAUAAACAUAGACUAAUUACACUUUUCUGUAAUGAUAUUAAAAGUUUGUUUUAAUGAUGCUGAACUUUUUGGGUAUUAUGCAACACGUUUUGUGCCAAAAUGAUAAAAUUAUCUAGUGAAGAUAUGACAGCUAGUUCACCAACAAAUAAUAGCUGUAUCAAAUUACAUUCUUGGAGCAGGUAAUGGCCUAAGGAAAUAUCCUAAAACGAUUUAGAGAAGAUAAUAGUUUAAAAGCAGAUAGACUACAAAUCUUUUCUUCAUUUGUCGAAAAUAUAAGAGGGUAUUCAGAUGAAUGCAUGACUGGUUUUGUUUUCUGUAAACAUGUGUUUUAUGUAUUGUUUUCUUUUAUUUUAUUUUUCAAUUCAGAAUUCUAAUGAUCUGCAUUUAAAAUGUGAACAUUGAAGGAGAAUUGCAUUAUUUGUGACAAUAAACAAAGUACACCAACCACAUGUUCCACUAUUAUUAUUAUCUUUUUCUCAGUUGUUGGGAAUUAUUUUUUUCGGGCGCAAAAAUAUGACGUAAAAAAGAGCUGCGCAACUAUACAAGGGAGCUGUUUGUUAUAAGUUACCAACCUUCGCCACACAUGACAUGCUGUCCCAAAAUAAGAUGCACAACUGGCAGGAGAACGAGAUCAAGGAACUUCUGAUCCUUCGGGGUUCGGAUGCGAUCCGCAGCCAGAUCACGGGCACCGUGAAGGACUCGGUGGUCUACAGCAGGAUGACCAAACUGCUGGCGGAGCGGGGCGUGCACCGAUCCCACAUGCAAGUCAUCAGCAAGCUAAAGGCUCUGCGGAAGCAGUACCUGAAACACCACGACCAAAGGAGCCAGUGCACUGGCAGCCACCGAGUGCACUGGCUCUUCUACGACCUGUGCCACCGGGCCUUCGACAACUCCCCCAUGGUGAGCCCGUCGCCCCCGCCAGCCACGGCGGACGCGACCCCGUCCCCGUCGCCGCCCGCAGCUCCACCUGUACCGCCCUCUGCAACAGCCAAAGACGAGAGCGGAGUGGUCCAGAUCAGCCUGUGGGACGACGUGGACGAGCAGGAGGCCGAAAGGCACCUGGAGGCGGUGGAGGCAGAUGAUGAAGAGGAGGAGUUCAGCCCGGCGGAGCGGCUGCAGACCAUCAACACAGCGUACACCGUUCCAUCCCGGAAAAGACGAGCAACCGUGAUGGAUCAAGUCUCCUCCCUGGUGACGGCCACCGUCGCUCAGCUGCGAGAGAUGGAUGCCGCCAUGCAGGCGCAGGAAGACGCCCGUCUGCAGAGGUUAAUGAGCCAUGAGAGAGAAAUGCAGAACACUCUAAUGAGUCAGCUGGUCGUCAUGAAUGAGAGGAUCAGUCGAGAAAACCACAAGCGAAAUCUUGAACUUGUGGACAGAAUACUCUCCAGGUUCCCCUCGCCCUCCUCAAGCCACUGA